GCACCUGAGCCAGGGAUCAGAUCGUCGGAACCCUCGCCGUCCCUCCCUUCCACCCAAAACACGUUGUCUGAGCAGGUCCUUGCGGCGGCGCUCGUUCUACACCCAUGGUGACCGGAAUAAUGGAGGAUUCCAGGAUUGAGUUGCUCGUUCCCGCAGAUCUGCAAAUAGUUUUUUAGGAUUUGUUCUCCAGUCUGUCUAGCGAACGGACCUUAAUGGCGGGCUGCGGCCAUUGUUGUCUUCUUUCAGGUUCCAUUACGAGAGGAGUUCGCUGACAACCUUGAGCAAGCUGAUCUGUUUCUCUAGUCUUGUUGCCCAACAACGGAGCUGGCCUUGCCGUUCCUGAAGACUCAAAUGUUGGGUCUGGGUGCGCUCAGCAGCUGGCGAUGGGACUGAAAGGGCUGGAGCUGGCCGCCGUCGUCGCCCGGAUGCAUCUCUGACGAGGCCGGCGCAGUCGACUGAAAUAGUCAACCCAGAGGCACCAGACUAGACUAAAAAUGUGAUCCCAUAUCCUACAGAUGUUGGUCUGUAUAUUCAGCUUUGACUGCAUGUUCUUCUGCACAUCCAUGUUCUGUCUGAAAAAUGUUUUACUUUGCAAAAAUCGUUAGGAUGGAAGACCCUAUCAAGAAGUAAGCCGUGGCACUGCAGUCCAUGCUUGAUGCCUAGUUUAACAGUCAGAAGCACUUUCAACAUACUGUUAAUGUUGUUGAAGUAGAAGUGUAGAACUAAUAGACAGCAAAAUUACUCUUGUAUUUGAACUCGUAGAGUGAAUAAUGAACGUCUGCAACAGGUCACGGCUGGGCAGUGCGCCACCAGACAGGACACCGUGUCCCUCUCGAAUGAGCGCUCUGGAGCAAUCGACUUGCAACGCAGAGGAACCUACAAAAGAUUUAAUAUGGUAAAAGAAGACUAAAUGCCGAGAGGACGAAAUGCAUGCAGGAGAUCGUAUGUGGUUGCUCGGGCAAACCAGAGGUAGAGAAUAGUAGGUAAUGCAGAUGCGAGUGUCCAGUGCUGAUUAGGCUGUUUCGCGCGGCGGACAACAACUGAUACAUCACAGAGCACCAUGAGAGCCGCAGCCAUUCAAUGUCCUUAACAAUGGGUGAGUAGGUGCAUUGGCCGUCGCACAAGCACAUCGACGCAUACACAAGAUUUGAUAAAGCAACCUGGGGAAAACAAUGUGAAACUUUGGAAGGUGUACAACAUAAUUGGGAGCUUCGUUGGUUCGGUCGAGAAGGUGCCCGUCAUGAAGAGGACCCUAAGAAACAUUUGCGGGAAGGUAAGCCGCGAAUCACAUGUUGAAGACAUACAUGCCUCCUUCAAGCCCAAUGCAUAUUUUUCUCAGGCAGUGCAUGAGGUUAAUUACAGUUUGACCAUGAGCGUGAGGAAAGCUACGAGGAGAAGAGGACGAUAAUUGGUGGAGCUAUCAGGAGGACCAAUUUGGUGAUACAUAGAGCGGCAUGCAAGUAAACUUUACACCAGGGCUAUGUUUGAGGAGUUUUGGUCGCCUCCUAAUCGAAGGGACGUUGUACAAUGUCAAGGAAGGAGAGAAGAAGAGGAAAUAUGUUAAAAAGCACGACAAUGUAGCUAAAAGAGAAAAAUGGAGCAGAGUCGAGUACGAGGUGACCAUAAGUGAAGAUCAGUCAGAGUUUACGUGCGAGUCUGGCCAGUUCGAGCAUACUGGGAUGUUAUGCAACCAUGUCUUAAGGGUCAUGGAUAUACUUCAUCUGGAGAAGAUCCCUGCAAUGCAUAUACUCAAGUACUCAAGCGGUGGACCAAGGACGCGAGGGACAUACUUCCCCAACACCUGGUUCAGUAUCAGAAGGACAAUUCAGUUAACUUGUCGUUCACAUGCAGGAACUCGAUGCUCUAUCUGAAAGCCAUGGAAGUCGUGCGGAUGGGCGAUUCGAAUGCAGAAUCAUUCGAGCACAUGUUUGCUGGUCUGGAAGCUUUGUUGGUGAGUGGCACACCUUUAGCUGAGAAGAGGGAUGCUUGGGGUUUGAGCAUCGGAUAGCAGGUUUGGCCACUGGUAGACUUCCUGGCAAUGGAGUGGUUGCGUUUGUGGGGGGAGACGAUGCUGACAAAUGCAAAAGUGGUGGGAAAUCUGUUAGUGUGAAUGCCCUUGAAGGUCUAGCAAUCCAGAUAAGCAUAGUGGGGUCGGCAGACUGACUAAUAGCAGGGAGAAGGCGCCUUAUGAGGGUUAGAGUAGAUGUAGCAGGUUCUUCAACAUUUUUCGGCGCGAGGGGCACAAGCGAAUUACCUGCCCCGAAAGAGGAGAUGCCCCCAAGAAACCACGGAAGCCAGGGAUAUGCAAGAACUGCAGCAUGGAAGGGCAUCGCCGGAACACUUGCAUGAGGCUGCUCGGUGCUGCUGAGAAAUGAGUUCCAAAGUUUUAAUUUGUAAUCUGUAUUGUAGUACCUUUCAGGAUUUUCUAGUGUGUUUCAGUGAGCAUUGCUCCAUGCUUGUUCCUCAAUUACCAGA